CCAUGCGGUUGUAUCCGAUUUAGAGUUCCAUGAAAUUGGUAGUAAGAGCCGGUCUCCGUUCGUGCAAAAUUAUACGAAAACCACUAUAGGUAGAAUGCCGCUGGUUAUAUGAGAAUGCUCCCCUCGUUCGGUUGAUCGAAACUCCCGAACGUCGGUCUUGUACUGUAAGGAGAAAUAGGUCAGACGGGACUUCCAUAAAGACCGGGUGUUCGUGCGAGUGCCAUGUCGAAAACAGUUCCAGGCACUCGACGACCAGGUCCCGCUGGCCUCGUUAGGGAGUUUAAGAUGGUCGCCAUCCUUUAUUCUCGCCACGUGUUCGUAUGCCGAAUGGCGGCCACCUAAGAGCCCUCAAUUACCUUGUGGUUUCGUGUUGCAACAUGGUGUUCUAUGUUCUAAUUGCUACCCAGGGUGGUCUCUGUUCGGUAGAACGAAUAAUCUACCGAACACACACAGAAAAACAAAUGCAGCCAAGUCAUUUAGGUAGCAGGGAGAGGAAAUAGUCAAAUAAAGACAGAGAAUACAGGGAAAUUCUUCACUAGGUGUACAAAGAUAUUUCUCAGCGGAUAGCAGCCGAGGGAUUUAAACGGACAUCGGUUCAGUGUAGGGUAAAGCUUUAAAAGCCA